AAAGUGAUGUUUUACAGAGGAUAAUGUCCAAUGUCCAAUGAUCACCUUAAAGCGCAAGCAGUAGAGCAGUUGUUAAAAAAUAACGUGGGCUAAGGAUUUUGUACGCAAUCGAAUGUGUGAGAGUGAGUAAGUCGAGGUGCAGACUAUUAUUUUGGCCAAAAAGAGUGUCCCAUCCAUCCAUACGGACAUAUAUUUUUUGCACUUGGAAUCGUGACAUCUUUUUUUGAUUUUUGGGCUUGAUAAGUUUGAUAUUUUUUUACGAGGAGCUUUUUCAAACGAGGACCCCGGAAGACCCCACAUGGCUUGGGCAAGAUGUCCAAAUACGGUGCAGUCGUAUUCAGAUGGGUACUCGCCUAGGAGAAACUUUCUCUGACCGAGAAUAGUGGAGAGAUGCUGGAAAAGAAUAAAUUAGCGAAUUAAAUUUGCAAAAAAAAAAUCGAGAAUGAAAUUUACUAUUUAAAAAAGUGUAUGGGAGACUUAUAAUUCUGUAAAAAAAAAUCUGUGCGCAUGUUUAAACUGUUUAAUCAACUUACAAUUUGUAAAAAAAAUCUAGUAUGAAAUUUGGCAAGGUUUUUUUUGUCAUAAUUUUGAAAAACUAAUUCGGAGACUGGGAGACUUAUAAUUUUGAAAAAAAUCUGUGCGCAUGUUUAAACUGUUUAAUCAACUUACAAUUUGUAAAAAAAAUCUAGUAUGAAAUUUGGCAAGGUUUUUUGUCAUAAUUUUGAAAAACUAAUUCGGAGACUUCAUGCUGCAAAAAUUAUGUGAGGAAAAUUUAAACUUUAGACUUUUUGUGAGUUCUAACGCCGUUAAGAAACAUUUUUAGAAUGGAAAGUAGCUUUAGAAUUAUUUCAGGUUCGAAAUUUUCUUUCUGUGUAAAAAAUAAAUAGGCCAAUUUUUUCAUAAUUGUGAAAAAUAAAAAUUCGGAAGGAUUUCGAGAGAUUUAAUUCUUUAAAAAAUCUGUACGUAAAAUGAAACUUUAAAUUUUUUUGCGAGGUUUGACGACGCUGUUAAGAAUCAUUUCUAAAGUUCAAAUAGCUAUUAAUUUAUUUGUAAUGUCGCAAUCUUGCUGAAAAUGAUUUUUUCGUAGCUUGAAAAAAGAUGCCGGCGAAUUUCUGCAUACUUAAAUCUGCAAAAAAUUGCUGUGCACACAUUGGUAAUUAUUAUUAAAAUUUAAUUUUUUUGUAAGUUUUAACGCCGUCAAGCAACAUUUAUAACGCAAAAAUACCUUAAACUAAUUUCAGGUUUAUAACUAAUUUUUCUGAUGAAAAUUAAUAUGCCAGUUUUUCAUAAUUAAAAAAAAUCUUCUAUGCGGACAUUAAUCAAAUUUAAACUUUAAAUUUUUAUCCGAGUUUUUCAGAAAACAUUAGAACGCAAAAUAAUUCGUUAGCAUUCCUUCAGGUUCGUAUUUUUCAUUCUUGGAGAAAAUUAAUAGGCCAAUUUUCUCAUAAUUUGGAAAAAUAAUUUGUCAGAAGGUUUAUUGUUUUUGCGAGUUUCAAGAAAUAUUUGGAAUGGAAAACAAAUUCUGUGAAAAUUUGUAAUAUUUUUCAAACUUUAAUUUUUUUGCUAUAUAGUUUUAACGCCAUCAAAAAAUAUUUAUAAUACAAAAAUAGCUUCAGACUUAUGUCAAGUCUGUAAAUUAUUAUUCCGGCUGAAAAUAAAUAGGUCAGUUUUUUCUAAAAACCUUCUAUGUGGACAUUAAUCACAUUUAAAUUUGCAAUUUGUAAUUUGCAUUAGAAUGCGAAAUAAUUCGUUAACAUUCUUUCUGGUUCGUAUUUUUCAUUCUUGGAGAAAAUAAUAGGCCAAUUUUCUCAUAAUUUAGAAAAAAUAAUGUAUCAGAAGGUGUCUACAGACUUAAUUUUUCAAAAAAAAUUAUGUACGCGUAUUGAAACUCAAAUUUUUUUUAUAAGUUUUACCAUCCUCAAGAAAUAUUUUGAAUGCAAAAUAUCCUUAGGUUUAUUUCAAGUUCACAUUCUUCCUAAAAACAAAUAAGCCAACUUGUUUUCGUAAUUUUGAAGAAAAUAAUUUGUACCCCGAUUUCUACAGAAGUUUCUUCAAAACAAAUUCUGCGCGCAAAUUUGUAAUAUUUUUUAAACUUCAAUUUUUUUGUGAGUUUUAACGCCGUCAGGAAAGAUUUAGAAUGUUAAAUAUUUUGAAAUUUAUUUCAGAUACAUAUUUUUCGUCGAACGAAUAAGCCAAUUUUUUCAUACUUUUGAAGAAAAAAAAUUGUAACCCGAUUUCUACAGAAGUUUCUGCAAAACAAAUUUUGUGCGCAAAUUUGUAAUGUUUUAAAAUUUUAUGCGAGGUUUGACGCCGUAAAGAAACAUUUUUAUAAUUCAACAUUGAAUAACUUUAAAUUUAUUUCAGGUGUGUCAAUUGGUCUUUGGAGAUAGGAAAUAAAUAGGCCAAUUUUUUCAAAAUUACGAAUAAUAAUAUCAGCGCUGAUUUCUACAGAAGUUUCUACAAAACAAAUUAAGUGCGCAAAUUUGUAAUGUUUUUCUAACUUUAAUUUUUUGGGGAGUUUUAACGCGGUCCAGAAACAUAAAGAAUGCAAAAUAUCGCUAGGUUUAUUUAUUCUUUCUAAAAAUAAAUAAGCCAAUUUUUUCGUAAUUUCGAAGAAAGGAAUUUGUGCCCCGAUUUUUACAGAAGUUUCUAUAAAACAAAUUAUUUGCCAAAUUCUGUGUUUACAAACUUUAAUUUUUUUUAUGAAAACAGGCAUGCCAAUUUUUCAGAACUUUGAAAAAUAAUUUGUCGCCAGGUUUGUACAGACUUAAUGCUGCAAAACAAAAAUCUACCACCCGAACAUUGCGAAUAUUUAAAGUUUAAUUUUUUUUGCAAGUUUUAACGCCGUCAAGAAAUAUUUAGAAUGCAAAAUACUUAUCUUUACAUUUAUUUCAGAUACAUAAUAUUGUUGCUGAAAACGAAUAUGCCAAUUUUUUCAUACUUUUGAAGAAAAAAAUUUGUGCGCCGAUUUCUACAGAAGAUUCUGCAAGACAAAUUCUAUGUGCAAAUUUGCAAUAUUUUAAAAACUUUAAAUUUUUUGAGAGGUUUGACGUUGUCAAGAAAUAUUUAGAAUGCAAAAUAUCUUUACAUUUCUGAAUGCAAAUUUGUAAUAUUUUUUAAACUUGUGGAUUUUCUGCGAGGUUUGACGCCGUCAAGAAACAUUUUCUGAAUUUUAAUAGCUUUAGUCUGCUUUAGAUUCAUCUCAGGUGGAUAAGUUCAUUUUUGCUGAAAAAUGAAUAGGCGAAUUUUUCAUAAUUUCAAAAACAUGUGUCAGUAGCUUUUUACAGACUUAGACGGCACUAAAAUCCGCAAAAAUUUUAAGAUUAAAUAUUACUAACAAGAAACUUAGAAUGCAAAAUUCUAUCGUGGGAAUUAUUUCAGGUUCGUAUUUUUCAAUCUUGGUGAAAAAGAAUAGGCCAACUUUUUCAUAAUUUUGGAAAAUAAUUAGUCACCUUAGACAGACUUAGACGAAAAAAAAUAUAUGCAAAUUAGUAAUAUCUUUGAAACUUGAAAUUUUUUGCGAGUUUUAACCCCGUCAAGGAACAUUUUUAGAAUGAAAAGGCUCGUUACAUUUAUUUCAAAUCGUAUUUUUGCUGAAAAUGAAUGGGUAAAGUUUUCUAUAAUUUCGAAAAAUAACUUGUGCGCUGAUUUAAGUUUCUGCAAUAAAAAUUCUGCAAAUGCAAA